rnacentral:rRNA from 1 species
UACGUAGGGGGCAGCGUGUCGAUCAUUGGUGCGUAAAGCGCGUGUAGGCGGCCCGGUAAGUCCGCUGUGAAAGUCGGGGGGCUCAACCCUCGAAUGCCGGUGGAUACUGUCGGGCUAGAGUCCGGAAGGGGCGAGUGGAAUUCCUGGUGUAGCGGUGAAAAUGCGCAGAUAUCAGGAGGAACACCAAUGCGAAAGCGGCUCUCUGGGGACGGUACUGACGCUGAGACGCGAAAACGUGGGGGAGCAAAACAGGG